AUGUACCGGGGCUAAACAUAUUACCGAAGCUGUGGAUUGUCCUUUGGACAAUGGUAGGAGAGCGUUCUAAGGGCGUUGAAGCAUGAUCGUAAGGACAUGUGGAGCGCUUAGAAGUGAGAAUGCCGGUGUGAGUAGCGAAAGACGGGUGAGAAUCCCGUCCACCGAUUGACUAAGGUUUCCAGAGGAAGGCUCGUCCGCUCUGGGUUAGUCGGGUCCUAAGCUGAGGCCGACAGGCGUAGGCGAUGGAUAACAGGUUGAUAUUCCUGUACCACCUAUAAUCGUUUUAAUCGAUGGGGGGACGCAGUAGGAUAGGCGAAGCGUGCGAUUGGAUUGCACGUCUAAGCAGUAAGGCUGAGUAUUAGGCAAAUCCGGUACUCGUUAAGGCUGAGCUGUGAUGGGGAGAAGACAUUGUGUCUUCGAGUCGUUGAUUUCACACUGCCGAGAAAAGCCUCUAGAUAGAAAAUAGGUGCCCGUACCGCAAACCGACACAGGUAGUCAAGAUGAGAAUUCUAAGGUGAGCGAGCGAACUCUCGUUAAGGAACUCGGCAAAAUGACCCCGUAACUUCGGGAGAAGGGGUGCUCUUUAGGGUUAACGCCCAGAAGAGCCGCAGUGAAUAGGCCCAAGCGACUGUUUAUCAAAAACACAGGUCUCUGCUAAACCGUAAGGUGAUGUAUAGGGGCUGACGCCUGCCCGGUGCUGGAAGGUUAAGAGGAGUGGUUAGCUUCUGCGAAGCUACGAAUCGAAGCCCCAGUAAACGGCGGCCGUAACUAUAACGGUCCUAAGGUAGCGAAAUUCCUUGUCGGGUAAGUUCCGACCCGCACGAAAGGCGUAACGAUUUGGGCACUGUCUCAACGAGAGACUCGGUGAAAUCAUAGUACCUGUGAAGAUGCAGGUUACCCGCGACAGGACGGAAAGACCCCGUGGAGCUUUACUGUAGCCUGAUAUUGAAAUUCGGCACAGCUUGUACAGGAUAGGUAGGAGCCUUUGAAACGUGAGCGCUAGCUUACGUGGAGGCGCUGGUGGGAUACUACCCUAGCUGUGUUGGCUUUCUAACCCGCACCACUUAUCGUGGUGGGAGACAGUGUCAGGCGGGCAGUUUGACUGGGGCGGUCGCCUCCUAAAAGGUAACGGAGGCGCUCAAAGGUUCCCUCAGAAUGGUUGGAAAUCAUUCAUAGAGUGUAAAGGCAUAAGGGAGCUUGACUGCGAGACCUACAAGUCGAGCAGGGUCGAAAGACGGACUUAGUGAUCCGGUGGUUCCGCAUGGAAGGGCCAUCGCUCAACGGAUAAAAGCUACCCCGGGGAUAACAGGCUUAUCUCCCCCAAGAGUUCACAUCGACGGGGAGGUUUGGCACCUCGAUGUCGGCUCAUCGCAUCCUGGGGCUGUAGUCGGUCCCAAGGGUUGGGCUGUUCGCCCAUUAAAGCGGUACGCGAGCUGGGUUCAGAACGUCGUGAGACAGUUCGGUCCCUAUCCGUCGUGGGCGUAGGAAAUUUGAGAGGAGCUGUCCUUAGUACGAGAGGACCGGGAUGGACAUACCUCUGGUGUACCAGUUGUCGUGCCAACGGCAUAGCUGGGUAGCUAUGUGUGGACGGGAUAAGUGCUGAAAGCAUCUAAGCAUGAAGCCCCCCUCAAGAUGAGAUUUCCCAACUUCGGUUAUAAGAUCCCUCAAAGAUGAUGAGGUUAAUAGGUUCGAGGUGGAAGCAUGGUGACAUGUGGAGCUGACGAAUACUAAUCGAUCGAAGACUUAAUCAA
rnacentral:rRNA from 1 species